rnacentral:tmRNA from 1 species
GGGGGCGUACUGGUUUCGACAAGGGCAGUUGUGGCAUGGUAAGCGAGCCGGGAUCCCACCAGCCCGAAAUACGGUGGAAACAGCUAACUGCAAACAACGAAUACGCUUUAGCAGCUUAACCUGCUAACGUUCUGCCCCCGCCCUUCCCGCGGCAGGGGAUCAGGGCGCCACAAUGCGGGAUACCUUAAAGCCUGACUCCCGGAGGGCUGAUAGGGAAACUUUUCUGGGAUAGUGGGACCGGAGCCUGUCGGUGGGCGUCGGAACUGCGAAAUACAAAUUACCGACUGCGCUCGGAGAAAGCCAUGUGGCGAUGCUUUUGGACAGGGGUUCGAUUCCCCUCGCCUCCACCA